UGGGGAAUAUUGCACAAUGGGGGAAACCCUGAUGCAGCGACGCCGCGUGAACGAAGAAGGUAUUCGUAUCGUAAAGUUCUGUCCUAUGGGAAGAUAAUGACAGUACCAUAGAAGAAAGCUCCGGCUAAAUACGUGCCAGCAGCGGCGGUAAUACGUAUGGAGCGAGCGUUGUCCGGAAUUAUUGGGCGUAAAGGGUACGCAGGCGGUUUAAUAAGUCGAAUGUUAAAGAUCGGGGCUCAACCCCGUAAAGCAUUGGAAACUGAUGAACUUGAGUAGUGGAGAGGAAAGUGGAAUUCCUAGUGUAGUGGUGAAAUACGUAGAUAUUAGGAGGAAUACCAGUAGCGAAGGCGACUUUCUGGACACAAACUGACGCUGAGGUACGAAAGCGUGGGGAGCAAACAGG
rnacentral:rRNA from 1 species